rnacentral:tRNA from 1 species
UGGUCUAGUGGUUAGGACACUAGACUGGUACUCAAGAGACCUGGGUCCAAUUCCUAG